rnacentral:rRNA from 1 species
CAAUAGCGUAUAUUUAAGUUGUUGCAGUUAAAAAGCUCGUAGUUGGAUUUCGGGUGGGACCCAGCGGUCUCGCAUUGCGUUUGUACUGCUGCAGCCCUCCUUCUUGCCGGGGGCGGCCUCUCGGACUUCACUGUCUGGGGGUCAGAAUCGGCGAUGUUACUUUGAGUAAAUUAGAGUGUUCAAAGCAAGCUUACGCUCUGAAUAUAAUAGCAUGGGAUAACACGACAGGACUCUGGCCUAUCGUGUUGGUCUAUAGGACCAGAGUAAUGAUUAAGAGGGACAGUCGGGGGCAUUCGUAUUCCGUUGUCAGAGGUGAAAUUCUUGGAUUUACGGAAGACGAACAUCUGCGAAAGCAUUUGCCAAGGAUGUUUUCAUUGA